rnacentral:rRNA from 1 species
GACGAACGCUGGCGGCGUGCUUAACACAUGCAAGUCGAACGGAAAGGCCCUGCUUUUGUGGGGUGCUCGAGUGGCGAACGGGUGAGUAACACGUGAGUAACCUGCCCUUGACUUUGGGAUAACUUCAGGAAACUGGGGCUAAUACCGGAUAGGAGCUCCUGCUGCAUGGUGGGGGUUGGAAAGUUUCGGCGGUUGGGGAUGGACUCGCGGCUUAUCAGCUUGUUGGUGGGGUAGUGGCUUACCAAGGCUUUGACGGGUAGCCGGCCUGAGAGGGUGACCGGCCACAUUGGGACUGAGAUACGGCCCAGACUCCUACGGGAGGCAGCAGUGGGGAAUAUUGCACAAUGGGCGGAAGCCUGAUGCAGCAACGCCGCGUGCGGGAUGACGGCCUUCGGGUUGUAAACCGCUUUCGCCUGUGACGAAGCGUGAGUGACGGUAAUGAGUAAAGAAGCACCGGCUAACUACGUG